rnacentral:rRNA from 1 species
UACGAACCGGUCCAAACGUAUUCGGAUUUAUUGGGCUUAAAGGGCUCGUAGGCGGCCAACUAAGUCAGACGUGAAAUCCCCUCGGCUUAAACCGGGGGAACUGCGUCUGAUACUGGAUGGCUUUGAGAUUGGGAGAGGGAUGCGGAAUUCUCGGUGUAGCGGUGAAAUGCGUAGAUAUCGAAGAGGAACACCUGCGGCGAAGGCGGGUUGCUGGGCUGAACACUGACGCUGAAGCGCGAAAGCUAGGGGAGCGAAACGGGG